UAAUAAAAUAAAGUGCGUUGCAAAAGUAUUCAUAUCAUUCCCGUUCAUAAUGUUGAAGCGGGAAAACAUUUAUUUGUUUAUUCUUGAUUUUAGCAGGUUUGGUCCUUCAGAGGCAGGGCUUCAUAAAGGUUUUGAUGACUUUUCAGUCAUUAUAAGACUGAGAGGUUUUUCAGCUGUAGUUUAAAGAAGGACAAAAGAAACCAUUCGAUAAACAAGAAGACCUCCUGAAGCAGCAGGUUGGAAAGGAAAAACUAGUGAGGGUUGGAAGGAAAAGGCACAAUAUGGAACAUCACCAGCAUCUGCAGCCUACUCGAUCCCUAUCUCUGGUGGACGAUGGAGGAGGGCUCUCCAUCAUGCGUAUCACGGAGCCAGUGUGAAUUACCACGUUGACUAGCGUGCCUUGUACUUGCGACAGAGAGCAACAUGCUCGAUUGACGGAAUCUGUGUGAAUGACGGGUAAGCAAUUAAGCACCCACAAAAAUUAAAUACUCAACUAGAAUGAACAACCUCAAUAUUUUUGAUGCCGUUGCAGCCAGAUGACCCAAAAAUGUCUCUAAACUCACUGUUUUUUGUAGAAAGAAUCAAUAAAAUAUCUCAAAGACGAAAUUAAAGAAAUUUGGGUGGCCACAAAUGUUAUUCACACAGAAAUGAUGUAAAGGCUUUAUACUCUGAGCUCUUUCUGUUAAAAAUAUGAAGUUGUUUUGCUUUAAAUAUUAAGUGAUUUUUUGAUUUGCACCUUUCAGAGAUUAAAUCAUCUUUCAGCUACAAUGUUUUUUCAUCAAUAAAAAUAUUAAUAGCA